rnacentral:lncRNA from 1 species
AGAUUUAUCAGCAGACGCAUCUGGAAUAUGCUCGGGUGAAAGAAGAAAUUGCUAGAAGUGAUUCUGUGAAGAAGAAACUGGAAGCCAAAGUGAAGAAACUGGAAGAGGCUGCAACAAAGCAUAUGCAAGACUUCAGACAGUUGAAGACUGAAAAAAAAGUUCUUGAAAAGGAGCUAAAGAAGGCGCAGGGAAAACGUGAUGACUUUCCCAAAGAGAAAUGCAGAAAGGUGUUAAAACAUGCAGAGACACAGAGUGCAAGAGAAGAUCCAGUUGCAAACAUAGACAAAGUUAACAAUUACGCAAAAUCCAGCUUGAAAACAAGUCGACAGACUGGAAGAUAUCCCAUCAUCUCAUUCCAUUU